AUUGAACGCUGGCGGCAGGCCUAACACAUGCAAGUCGAACGAGUGGCGGACGGGUGAGUAAUGUCUGGUAAACUGCCUGAUGGAGGGGUAUAACUACUGGAAACGGUCGCUAAUACCUCAUACCCUCGGCUGUUCCCAGAUGGGAUUAGCUAGUAGGUGGGGUAACGGCUCACCUCGGCGACGAUCCCUAGCUGGUCUGAGAGUAUGACCAGCCACACUGGAACUGAGACACGGUCCAGACUCCUACGGGAGGCAGCAGUGGGGAAUAUUGCACAAUGGGCGCAAGCCUGAUGCAGCCAUGCCGCGUGUAUGAAGAAGGCCUUCGGGUUGUAAAGUACUUUCAGCGGGGAGGCGUUACCCGCAGAAGAAGCACAGGCUAACUCCGUGCCAGCAGCCGCGGUAAUUC
rnacentral:rRNA from 1 species